rnacentral:rRNA from 1 species
UACGUAGGUGGCAAGCGUUGUCCGGAUUUACUGGGCGUAAAGAGCUCGUAGGCGGUUCGUCGCGUCGGCUGUGAAAUCCCGAGGCUCAACCUCGGGUCUGCAGUCGAUACGGGCGGACUGGAGUUCGGCAGGGGAGACUGGAAUUCCUGGUGUAGCGGUGAAAUGCGCAGAUAUCAGGAGGAACACCGGUGGCGAAGGCGGGU